GACGAACGCUGGCGGCGUGCUUAACACAUGCAAGUCGAACGGAAGGCCCUGCUUUUGUGGGGUGCUCGAGUGGCGAACGGGUGAGUAACACGUGAGUAACCUGCCCUUGACUUUGGGAUAACUUCAGGAAACUGGGGCUAAUACCGGAUAGGAGCUCCUGCUGCAUGGUGGGGGUUGGAAAGUUUCGUCGGUUGGGGAUGGACUCGCGGCUUAUCAGCUUGUUGGUGGGGUAGUGGCUUACCAAGGCUUUGCCGGGUAGCCGGCCUGAGAGGGUGACCGGCCACAUUGGGACUGAGAUACGGCCCAGACUCCUACGGGAGGCAGAAGUGGGGAAUAUUGCACAAUGGGCGGAAGCCUGAUGCAGCAACGCCGCGUGCGGGAUGACGGCCUUCGGGUUGUAAACCGCUUUCGCCUGUGACGAAGCGUGAGUGACGGUAAUGGGUAAAGAAGCACCGGCUAACUACGUG
rnacentral:rRNA from 1 species